CCUACGGGUGGCAGCAGUGAGGAAUAUUGGUCAAUGGACGCAAGUCUGAACCAGCCAUGCCGCGUGCAGGAAGACGGCUCUAUGGGUUGUAAACUGCUUUUGUACGAGGAUAAACUCAGAUACGCGUAUCUGUCUGAACGUAUCGUACGAAUAAGGAUCGGCUAACUCCGUGCCAGCAGCCGCGGUAAUACGGAGGAUUCGAGCGUUAUCCGGAUUUAUUGGGUUUAAAGGGAGCGUAGGCGGUUGGAUAAGUUAGAGGUGAAAUGCCGCGGCUCAACCUCGGAAUUGCCUCUGAUACUGUUGGGCUAGAGAGUAGUUGCGGUAGGCGGAAUGUAUGGUGUAGCGGUGAAAUGCUUAGAGAUCAUACAGAACACCGAUUGCGAAGGCAGCUUACCGAGCUACUUCUGACGUUGAGGCACGAAAGCGUGGGGAGCAAACAGGAUUAGAUACCCUUGUAGUC
rnacentral:rRNA from 1 species